GAUGAACGCUAGCUACAGGCUUAACACAUGCAAGUCGAGGGACCGGCGCACGGGUGAGUAACACGUAUCAAACCUGCCCUUUACUCGGGUAUAGCCUUUCGAAAGAAAGAUUAAUACCCGAUAUAAAGGAUGGGGAUGCGUUCGAUUAGGUUGUUGGUGAGGUAACGGCCCACCAAGCCUUCGCUGGAUAGGGGUUCUGAUAGGAAGGCCCCCCACAUUGGAACUGAGACACAGUCCACACUCCGACGGGAGGCAGGAGUGAGGAACAUUGGUCAAUGGACGUUAUCCUGAACCAGCCAAGUAGCGUGAAGAAUGAAGGCUUAUGGGUCGUAAACUUCUUUUAUAUAAGAAUAUGUAUUCUAUGAAUAAGGAUCGGCUAACUCCGUGCCAGCAGCCGCGGUAAUUC
rnacentral:rRNA from 1 species